GACGAACGCUGGCGGCGUGCUUAACACAUGCAAGUCGAACGGAAAGGCCCUGCUUUUGUGGGGUGCUCGAGUGGCGAACGGGUGAGUAACACGUGAGUAACCUGCCCUUGACUUUGGGAUAACUUCAGGAAACUGGGGCUAAUACCGGAUAGGAGCUCCUGCUGCAUGGUGGGGGUUGGAAAGUUUCGGCGGUUGGGGAUGGACUCGCGGCUUAUCAGCUUGUUGGUGGGGUAGUGGCUUACCAAGGCUUUGACGGGUAGCCGGCCUGAGAGGGUGACCGGCCACAUUGGGACUGAGAUACGGCCCAGACUCCUACGGGAGGCAGCAGUGGAGAAUAUUGCACAAUGGGCGGAAGCCUGAUGCAGCAACGCCGCGUGCGGGAUGACGGCCUUCGGGUUGUAAACCGCUUUUGCCUGUGACGAAGCGUGAGUGACGGUAAUGGGUAAAGAAGCACCGGCUAACUACGUGCCAGCAGCCGCGGUGAUACGUAGGGUGCGAGCGUUGUCCGGAUUUAUUGGGCGUAAAGGGCUCGUAGGUGGUUGAUCGCGUCGGAAGUGUAAUCUUGGGGCUUAACCCUGAGCGUGCUUUCGAUACGGGUUGACUUGAGGAAGGUAGGGGAGAAUGGAAUUCCUGGUGGAGCGGUGGAAUGCGCAGAUAUCAGGAGGAACACCAGUGGCGAAGGCGGUUCUCUGGGCCUUUCCUGACGCUGAGGAGCGAAAGCGUGGGGAGCGAACAGGCUUAGAUACCCUGGUAGUCCACGCUGUAAACGGUGGGUACUAGGUGUGGGGUCCAUUCCACGGGUUCCGUGCCGUAGCUAACGCUUUAAGUACCCCGCCUGGGGAGUACGGCCGCAAGGCUAAAACUCAAAGGAAUUGACGGGGCCCCGCACAAGCGGCGGAGCAUGCGGAUUAAUUCGAUGCAACGCGUAGAACCUUACCUGGGUUUGACAUGGAUCGGGAGUGCUCAGAGAUGGGUGUGCCUCUUUUGGGGUCGGUUCACAGGUGGUGCAUGGCUGUCGUCAGCUCGUGUCGUGAGAUGUUGGGUUAAGUCCCGCAACGAGCGCAACCCUUGUUCACUGUUGCCAGCACGUUAUGGUGGGGACUCAGUGGAGACCGCCGGGGUCAACUCGGAGGAAGGUGGGGACGACGUCAAGUCAUCAUGCCCCUUAUGUCCAGGGCUUCACGCAUGCUACAAUGGCUGGUACAGAGAGUGGCGAGCCUGUGAGGGUGAGCGAAUCUCGGAAAGUCGGUCUCAGUUCGGAUUGGGGUCUGCAACUCGACCUCAUGAAGUCGGAGUCGCUAGUAAUCGCAGAUCAGCAACGCUGCGGUGAAUACGUUCCCGGG
rnacentral:rRNA from 1 species